AAGUCGUAACAAGGUUUCCGUAGGUGAACCUGCGGAAGGAUCAUUAUCCAUCUCAAACCAGGUGCGGUCGCGGCCCCCCGGGGGCUUGCUCCCGGGUGGUAGGGGGUAACGCCCUCACGCCCGCCUGCCUGUACCCUCUUUUUACGAGCACCUUUCGUCUCCUUCCGUCGGGGUAGGUCACUGCCGCUGGAACCAAAACAAAACCUUUUUUGCAUCUAGCAUUACCUGUUCUGAUCAAAUAAUCGUUACAA
rnacentral:misc_RNA from 1 species